rnacentral:rRNA from 1 species
UACGUAGGGGGCAAGCGUUGUCCGGAUUUAUUGGGCGUAAAGAGCGUGUAGGCGGCCAUACAGGUCAGCUGUGAAAACUCGAGGCUCAACCUCGAGACGUCGGUUGAAACCGUAUGGCUAGAGUCCGGAAGAGGAGAGUGGAAUUCCCGGUGUAGCGGUGAAAUGCGCAGAUAUCGGGAAGAACACCCGUGGCGAAGGCGGCUCUCUGGGACGGUACUGACGCUAAGGUGCGAAAGCGUGGGGAGCGAACAGG